rnacentral:lncRNA from 1 species
GGAGAUGGCUGAAGGUGUACUGUGAAGCCUUUUGCUGUGGUCUGACUGUACAGAUCCCAGAACCCAUUCCAGCUGCAGAUACAGUGUGUGCUUCUCAAGUAAAUGGGCACACUGGGAGCCUACAGACUUACUCAGGGGGCCUCUUGCAGUACCUGUAGAAGAAAAGACCAGGAGAUGCUUUGUGUCCUGUGGGGAUAGCUGUGCUACACCUCUAUCCAGCUGAGCCUUGGAACUUCCUCUUCGGACAAACUCUUUGACAGAAGGAGUUCCUGCAGCGGCGACCCCCUGACGAGGCAGAGGAUUCCUGAUAGUUACCAGCAGAGCCGCGGUGAUUCUUGGCCACGUGGGACACUUCAGAGAACUGGGAACAAGGCCUGCUGCCAAACUUGUGCUUGAAGCCCUACAAAGAAAGAGCCAUUUGUCAGACGUCACCCCAACGGGAGCUGCUGAAU